AUCUCUUGGUUCCAGCAUCGAUGAAGAACGCAGCGAAAUGCGAUAAGUAAUGUGAAUUGCAGAAUUCAGUGAAUCAUCGAAUCUUUGAACGCACAUUGCGCCCCCUGGUCUUCCGGGGGGCAUGCCUGUUCGAGCGUCAUU
rnacentral:rRNA from 1 species